rnacentral:rRNA from 1 species
GGGCCCGCACAAGCAGCGGAGCGUGUGGUUAAUUCGAUGUUACACGAAGAACCUUACCAGGGUUUGACAUGCAAGUGGUAGGAAACCGAAAGGUGACCGACCCUUCGGGGAGCUUGCACAGGUGCUGCAUGGCUGUCGUCAGCUCGUGUCGUGAGAUGUUCGGUUAAGUCCGCUAACGAGCGCAACCCUCGCUGUGUGUUAUAUGUGUCACACGGGACUGCCGGUCUUAAGCCGGAGGAAGGUGGGGAUGAUGUCAAGUCAGCAUGGCCUUUAUAUCCUGGGCUACACACACGCUACAAUGGCCAGCACAAUAGGUUGCUAAGCCGCGAGGUGGCGCCAAUCCAUAAAGUUGGUCUCAGUUCAGAUUGUAGGCUGCAACCCGCCUGCAUGAAGAUGGAGUUGCUAGUAACCGCAGGUCAGCUAUACUGCGGUGAAUACGUUCCCGGGGCUU